UACGUAGGUGGCAAGCGUUAUCCGGAAUUAUUGGGCGUAAAGAGCGCGCAGGUGGUUAAUUAAGUCUGAUGUGAAAGCCCACGGCUUAACCGUGGAGGGUCAUUGGAAACUGGUUGACUUGAGUGCAGAAGAGGGAAGUGGAAUUCCAUGUGUAGCGGUGAAAUGCGUAGAGAUAUGGAGGAACACCGGUGGCGAAAGCGGCUCUCUGGCCUGUAACUGACACUGAGGCUCGAAAGCGUGGGGAGCAAAUAGG
rnacentral:rRNA from 1 species